GACAGGGCUGCCUGGAGCCAUGUCCAACGACCCACCCCCACCAUACCCGGGGGGCCCCUCAGCACCACUGAUAGAAGAGAAGCAUGGCCCACCCACUGCACCAGAGGGUGUCACCCCAGUUGUGGGACAGCCACAGGGGGUUCCCAUCCCCCCUCCUGAGUUUGGACCUCCCCCAUAUGAGCCGCCCUCGCAGCCGGGGUUUGUGCCCCCUCACAUGCCCACGGAUGGCUCUGGGCCCUACGUGCCACCAGGUGAGUCCUGUGAGGGGCUGGGGGACACAGGAGGUAGGGAUGGGCAGCAGCACGUUUCCUGGUGCCCUGGGGAGUGGGGGGGACACAAGAGGGGUUGGGGCUGCCAUUUGGGGCUUGCAGUGAGGCUCCUCAAGGUGGGGUGGGGGGCACAGUGCGUGUAGCAGGGUUGGCCCCAAG
rnacentral:lncRNA from 1 species